AUUUUGAUAUAGGAAAUCAUGCAUGAAGGAAAAAAAAACGCUAUAUAAUUCUGUGUUACACUUGGUAUUGUAUGCAAUUGGUGUAACAUUUAUUUCAUAGUGUGUAUAUGAAACGCGAAAGAUUUCUUUCUUUUCUUUUCUUUUUUUUAUUUCCUUUGGAACGGUAAAUAUUUCUUGGAAUUGGGCAAAUUUCUACAAAAAGGGAUGUAUAUUUUGGAGUGUAUGCAAGUAUUGCUGUCACCACCACUACUACUACCACCACCACCGCCACUACUAACAACAUCAACAACAACAACAACAACCUUAAUGGGAGACCAAUACUUUUACCAGUGGUGCCUAUUAGUGUCAUUUGACUGCGGCCAUGCUGGAGCACCAUGUUUAGUCAAACAAAGAGGGUGCAGGACUUACUCUUUGUAAGCCUAGUACUUAUUCUAUUGGUUUCUUUUGCCAAACCGCUAAGUUAUGGAGACGUAAACACACCAAUGUCAGUUGUCAAGUGAUGGUGGUGGGGACAAACACAGACACACAAACAUAUACAUAUCACUGUUCACAUAACCAUGUGCUGCCAUCUGUUAGCAUGCUACAGAACUAGUCCAGGAA